AACGAACGCUGGCGGCAUGCCUAGCACAUGCAAGUCGAACGAGACCUUCGGGUCUAGUGGCGCACGGGUGUGUAACGUGUGGGAACCUGCCCUUAGGUUCGGAAUAACUCCCCGAAAGGGGUGCUAAUACCGGAUAAUGUCUUCGGACCAAAGAUUUAUCGCCUUUGGAUGGGCCCGCGUUGGAUUAGCUAGUUGGUAGGGUAAAAGCCUACCAAGGCGACGAUCCAUAGCUGGUCUGAGAGGAUGAUCAGCCACACUGGGACUGAGACACGGCCCAGACUCCUACGGGAGGCAGCAGUGGGGAAUAUUGGACAAUGGGCGAAAGCCUGAUCCAGCAAUGCCGCGUGAGUGAUGAAGGCCUUAGGGUUGUAAAGCUCUUUUACCCGGGAUGAUAAUGACAGUACCGGGAGAAUAAGCUCCGGCUAACUCCGUG
rnacentral:rRNA from 1 species